rnacentral:lncRNA from 1 species
AUAAGUUUCUUCUAGAAAAAAAAAGAAGAAACUAUUUUAAGCUUGUUAUUAUUGAAUUGAAAAAAAAAAGUCUAUUAUCAUUUUUUAUUAAUCCAAGUUAAUUAUUUUAAGGUUAUUAUUUUAAUUUUUAUUAAUCGAACAUUGUUAACUAAAAUUUGUAUGAAGAAACAAUAAUGUGUCUCUAAAAAAGAAAAAAAAUUGAUUAUUACUCUUUUUUUUUAGCAAUGUAAAGUUCAUCACAAAAAAAAAAAUUAAUUAGAUACUAAAUAAUUCGUCUUUGAAAAAAUGAUCACGAAAUACAAUAUUAUUCAAGACAAAAUUUUAGACUACUAUUUUCUAGUUUUGUUACAAUAAAUAAUUAUCUGUGACAAAAAAAUAGGGUCUCAAAAUUAAUCAAAACCAUAUUAUCUUCGAGACUAAUAUUUUUUUUGUCACAAAUUGUUUGAUCAAUUUCACAUCUCUCCUUCAAUUACGAAAUAAUUACGUCACCUAUAAUAAAAUUUUGCUACCAUAUUUUUGGUCAUAAAAGAUGAUAUUUAGUUAGAAAAUGAUCAAUUUUGGAGGGAAUUUUUUGCGCUAAAAUAAGUAUAUCCUUUUGCAACUAAUUUUAUGUUUGUGGGAAUUUUUUGCGCUAAAAUAAGUAUAUCCUUUUGCAACUAAUUUUAUGUUUGUGGGAAUUUUUUGCGCUAAAAUAAGUAUAUCCUUUUGCAACUAAUUUUAUGUUUGUCACAAACAUUUGAUUAGGUGACUAAUUAAUGGGUCCUAAAACAAUUAUUAUUGGUUACAAAAUAUAACAUGAGCCAAGACAAAAUUAUUGGCUACAAUUUCAAAAAAUCGUCAUAAUAAGUACUAUUUUAUGACAAAAUUUGUAAAAGUCAUAAAAAAAAUUGUCUUAAAAAGUUAAAUUUCUUGUAGUGACCCAACAACCUCCUUAUUUCUAGGCUUAUGGGCAGCGGUUGCUUUGUUCCUUGGGAGAGUGGAGAUGUGCUCCCUUGUACAUGCUUACUGGGUGCCUAGUUUUGUGGGAGCUCACCUUAGCAAAUGGAGGUGACAUUUGCAAUGUGUAUAUUUAGUGGAAGUGAGUGUGUGUUUUGGGAUGGAAAAUUUUGAGAGAGAGUGACAUCCUCUAAACAUGCAUAGCUUCAUAUUAGGUUGUAACUUUUCUUAUUGAGGGAAAUAGAAAAGUUGGAAACUGGUGUCUUCGUAAAUAUAAUCUUUUGUAUGGGUUGGUUUUUCUUUGUUGAAGCGAAAAAUCAUGGGGUGCGCAUUAGCACAUAACCUCCAUUGGUGUUGUUGAGUGGCUGGUCAAGCGAGGCUUGGCACCAUCAUAGGCUUGUCGCAUCUUGAGAAAAGACGUGUGACACUAACCUUGUGGCACUUAAUUCUAUGUUGUUAUUGUUUAUUUGAUUACGUGCGUGGAGGUUUGAACGGCAACUAUAGGAUCGCUUCACGAUGAACUUCAGAUGUGCAAGACUAAGGGACGCCUAGCACGAUUUGGGCCAACAUUCGUAAACUCAGGAAGGGGCACGGAAGAGAGAACAUUUUGGUUUAUAUUUUACUCAUAUACAUAUGAGUAAUUAUAUACAAACCUUUCAUGCCUUUACUAACUUUUUCACGUGGGACAAAUGUAUUUUCCUUUAAUUUUCCAAUUCCAUGAAUUUAAUUUGCGUAACAAUUUCUCAUUUAUCCAAUUUGAUCAUGUAGAGAAAACCAUUAUGAAGUAUUUAUGGAGGAAUAUUUGAAACAAUUUUAACCUUUCACUUACACUAGGUAGGUCUGACUCAAAAUUACACCUCAAAUAGCCACUUGUGCUAUAUUUCUAACAGUUUCUACAUCUUUUCCUUAUUUGAUUGCAUGCAAAAAAAUUGAGUGCAAUGAAAUUUUUAUCUUCUUUCGUCUAUGAUGUUUUGGUGUAAAAAAAAAUAAAAAUAAAAAUGAGCCCAUGAACUUCCAUAGUUUGUAUGUUACAAAAGGAGUUUUGUAACUAUUU